rnacentral:rRNA from 1 species
UACAGAGGGGGCAAGCGUUGUUCGGAAUCACUGGGCGUAAAGGGCGCGUAGGCGGCGCGGGCAGUCAACGGUGAAAGCUUGGGGCUCAACCCCGAGUCGGCCGUCGAUACUCCCGUGCUUGAGCACUGUAGAGGCAGGUGGAAUUCCGGGUGUAGCGGUGGAAUGCGUAGAGAUCCGGAAGAACACCGGUGGCGAAGGCGGCCUGCUGGGCAGUAGCUGACGCUGAGGCGCGACAGCGUGGGGAGCAAACCGG